CCUGAUGCAACCAACUGCUUGAUGGUGAAAAGGAAUGGCACGCGCUCACCACCAGGUAGCUGAACUGUGACUGCAGCGUAGUCAAUGCCAUCUUUCUCCUCGAAUUUGACAGUGCCAUCGGGUGAAACUUCGAAUGGCCCUUCGAUUUCAUCAAGGGUGUAGGUCAGGCGGGUCAUGAGCUUGGUGUUCUGGAAUUCAAGUGGGGCAUUCUUGGUUACACCCUCAGCCUUGACUGUGAAUGAAGUUGGUUCAAGACAGAACUUCUUGGCAGUGUAUUUGCCAGAUGGAAAAGAAAAUGAGUCUGCUCCACCAUCAAUGGUUGGGCAUUGGUUUGCAGUUCCGGUACCCUUGACUUCCAAGUAUGUCUUGCUCUGGAUUUCAUCGUAGGUUAGCCGCUUUGGAACACCUUCGGCACUUGCUCCCUGAUUAAUAAGCACAAGAUUAAUAGUCAGUCAUGUAAAUAAGAUAGGAGAAAUUUUAAGGUGUUUCCUAUGAAAGAAAAUGUUCUUGCCCUAUACUAUCUAUAUGCAUGUUAGAAAUAGAGAAACAACAGGUAAUAUGCAUAAGUUUCUGUAUUACUUGGAAUCUUUAAUGUAAAAAAGUUUAGUACACAUGACACAAAAGGACUCCUAACACAAUUAAACGUGAAAUUUGAAGGGGGUGAAUGUUGGAGUAAGAACUUCUCUUGCUUUAGAAAUAGUGCAUAAGAAACCAUAGGUGAACUAGUAAACACGUUUGAGCCUUACAAAUUUUUUUGGCACUACCAAAGGUAUCCUCUCACCAUAUGAAUAAGAAAGUAAUUUUUUUUGGAGAGCAUGACUGUUUCUCCCAGCAAGUGUCUCUCUCAGGAAUUGAACCCUUAAUCUUUUGGUCUUUUUCUAGGGAUCUAGUGAGGCCUUACAGCAAUAGACCAACAACUUAUUGGUAACCUUACAAAUUAAUUAGCAAUCUAAGUUGACAUUUGCAUUACAUGAAUUAGUAUCACAGACAACUGGGGUAAAGAUAUGUGGUGCAGAUUACAGAUAACAGGCUCGGUUGUGAUCAUAAUCAUAAAGAUCUUGUGCUGAAUAUGUCACCUUAUAAUAGUUAUUGAUGUACAUUAAAAAAAAGUUUAUUAAUGUCUAUGAUCAUUUCAUUCAAUUGCAAAAUAUUUAUCAUUGACCUCCUUAACCAAAUUGAUUCUUACUACUUAGUCCCUUAAAUUCCACCACACCUUUCACCAUAACUAAUCCAACAAAAUCAAAGAAUUAAAAAGGAAACAACAAACCAUAAAAUUUGGCACAAACAAUGAAAGUGUAUAGUCUAAGGCCUAAGUCUACAUUCAGUUCAUGGAAUUCCCAUGAUGUCAUAGUGGAACCUUAAACUAUGUCAUAUAUGUUAUCAAACAAAAUAUACCAAACUUUUCUAAUGAUAAUGAACAUAAAAAGGGGUCACAUAAAAAGGGGUCAAAGAAACAUACAGAUACGACAAGAGCAGAGGUAGCAAGGGCAAACCCUGCAAUCUUGGUAGCUUCAACACA
rnacentral:lncRNA from 1 species